rnacentral:ncRNA from 1 species
ACCUCGAUGUCGGCUCAUCUUAUCCUGGAGGUGGAGAAGCUUCCAAGGGUUUGGCUGUUCGCCAAUUAAAAAGAUACGUGAGCUGGGUUCAAACCGUAGGGGGGAAGGAACAAUUGACAUUUAACUUUUGACAAUUGACAAAGAAUUUUUCGCUUUUGAAUUAGCAAAUUCACUUACGUGUCGAAAAAUUCUUCAGUCACAUGUCAAUGGUCACCUGUCACAUGUUCGUCCCUCCUUAGUUUGAACCCGAGGCGAUGAGACUAAACUCAUCAAUAAUGACAUCAAUAAUCACGGCGGCUAUGCACAGUGAUGUACAUAGACAAGUUGACUAAUUUCGGGAAAACCUAAGCGAGAAAUCGUAUGGCAAUUCCGAGGGAAACAAUGGAGAUCAUUGUGCCCGUAGAGACUAAACGUCAGCACUCUCAGUAAAAAUGAGAAGAUGCUAUAGUCCGAUCCCUCUUGAAAAAGAGGUUCAUACGGUUUGGAGACCAGAGUAUGAUGUAAAACACUAAUGCGUGAGACAGGUUGGUCUCCUAUCUUCUGCAGGCGUUGAAUUUUGAGGGGAUUUGCUCCUAGUAAGUAAUUGCUACUUUCAUGAGUAAUCAUGAUUGAAAAUGCUGCUCAUAACGGUGAAGCCUUCAUAUGUUUUUGGUUCGAGAAUUGUAUCACUUGAGGUCCUUGUGGUAUAAUUUGCUUGAGGACCAGAACCUCUUUAAGGUAAUACCGUGGGAAGUCGCCGAAGCACCAGUUUGGUGCUCGGUUGACCCCGUAACGACUUACGUUGAAAGAUACGUAGACUCAUGCGUUGAGGAAUCAUUUCUAUGAAAAUGACUGCUCGCAUGGGUAAGAUGCAGCCCUCCUUUCAUUUGUGAAAGGAGGAAGGUAUAGUCUGCGCUCCUAGAAAUAGGGGAGAAAGACAUCUUCGGAUGUUUUAGUGACGAGAGGACCGCCAAGGGCACCGCAGCGUAGCUAUGUCGGGAAUGGAUAACCUCUGAAAGCAUCUAAGAGGGAAGCCAACCCCAAGAUCAGAAUUCGUUUGAGGCCCGUAAGAGAUGAUUACGUUGAUAGGCUCUAUGUGUAAGACGAGUAAUCGUUUCAGCAGAGGAGUACUAAUACGCCGAUUCCUGGUGGGA